CGUCCGUAGCCGGUUUAGUAAAUGCCUGGGUAAAUCGUGUAGCUUAACUAUACGACUUCCGGGUAGGCUGCUAAACUUGAGACCGGGAGAGGCUAGAGGUACUCCUGGGGUAGAGGUGAAAUUCUGUAAUCCUAGGGGGACCACCAGUGGCGAAGGCGUCUAGCUAGAACGGGUCUGACGGUGAGGGACGAAGCCCUGGGGCACAAACCGGAUUAGAUACCCGGGUAGUCCAGGGUGUAAACGCUGCUUGCUUGAUGUUAGUUGGGCUCCGAGCCCAACUAGUGUCGGAGAGAAGUUGUUAAGCAAGCUGCCUGGGAAGUACGGUCGCAAGGCUGAAACUUAAAGGAAUUGGCGGGGGAGCACAGCAACGGGUGGAGCGUGCGGUUUAAUUGGAUUCAACGCCGGAAAACUCACCGGAGGCGACGGUUACAUGAAGGCCAGGCUGAUGACCUUGCCUGAUUUUCCGAGAGGUGGUGCAUGGCCGCCGUCAGUUCGUACCGUAAGGCGUUCUGUUAAGUCAGACAACGAACGAGACCCUCAUCUUUAAUUGCUACUGGUAAGUUCGCUUACUGGGCACAUUAGAGAAACCGCUGGCGAUAAGUCAGAGGAAGGCGAGGGCAACGGUAGGUCAGUAUGCCCUGAAUCCUCCGGGCUACACGCGCGCUACAAAGGCUAGGACAAUGAGCUUCAACACCGAGAGGUGAAGGUAAUCUCGAAACCUAGUCGUAGUUCGGAUUGAGGGUUGAAACUCACGCUCAUGAAGCUGGAAUCCGUAGUAAUCGCGGAUCAACAUCCCGCGGUGAAUAUGCCCCUGCUCC
rnacentral:rRNA from 1 species